rnacentral:rRNA from 1 species
UGAACGCUGGCGGCGUGCCUAAUACAUGCAAGUCGAGCGAACGGACGAGAAGCUUGCUUCUCUGAUGUUAGCGGCGGACGGGUGAGUAACACGUGGAUAACCUACCUAUAAGACUGGGAUAACUUCGGGAAACCGGAGCUAAUACCGGAUAAUAUUUUGAACCGCAUGGUUCAAAAGUGAAAGACGGUCUUGCUGUCACUUAUAGAUGGAUCCGCGCUGCAUUAGCUAGUUGGUAAGGUAACGGCUUACCAAGGCAACGAUGCAUAGCCGACCUGAGAGGGUGAUCGGCCACACUGGAACUGAGACACGGUCCAGACUCCUACGGGAGGCAGCAGUAGGGAAUCUUCCGCAAUGGGCGAAAGCCUGACGGAGCAACGCCGCGUGAGUGAUGAAGGUCUUCGGAUCGUAAAACUCUGUUAUUAGGGAAGAACAUAUGUGUAAGUAACUGUGCACAUCUUGACGGUACCUAAUCAGAAAGCCACGGCUAACUACGUGCCAGCAGCCGCGGUAAUACGUAGGUGGCAAGCGUUAUCCGGAAUUAUUGGGCGUAAAGCGCGCGUAGGCGGUUUUUUAAGUCUGAUGUGAAAGCCCACGGCUCAACCGUGGAGGGUCAUUGGAAACUGGAAAACUUGAGUGCAGAAGAGGAAAGUGGAAUUCCAUGUGUAGCGGUGAAAUGCGCAGAGAUAUGGAGGAACACCAGUGGCGAAGGCGACUUUCUGGUCUGUAACUGACGCUGAUGUGCGAAAGCGUGGGGAUCAAACAGGAUUAGAUACCCUGGUAGUCCACGCCAUAAACGAUGAGUGCUAAGUGUUAGGGGGUUUCCGCCCCUUAGUGCUGCAGCUAACGCAUUAAGCACUCCGCCUGGGGAGUACGACCGCAAGGUUGAAACUCAAAGGAAUUGACGGGGACCCGCACAAGCGGUGGAGCAUGUGGUUUAAUUCGAAGCAACGCGAAGAACCUUACCAAAUCUUGACAUCCUUUGACAACUCUAGAGAUAGAGCCUUCCCCUUCGGGGGACAAAGUGACAGGUGGUGCAUGGUUGUCGUCAGCUCGUGUCGUGAGAUGUUGGGUUAAGUCCCGCAACGAGCGCAACCCUUAAGCUUAGUUGCCAUCAUUAAGUUGGGCACUCUAAGUUGACUGCCGGUGACAAACCGGAGGAAGGUGGGGAUGACGUCAAAUCAUCAUGCCCCUUAUGAUUUGGGCUACACACGUGCUACAAUGGACAAUACAAAGGGCAGCGAAACCGCGAGGUCAAGCAAAUCCCAUAAAGUUGUUCUCAGUUCGGAUUGUAGUCUGCAACUCGACUACAUGAAGCUGGAAUCGCUAGUAAUCGUAGAUCAGCAUGCUACGGUGAAUACGUUCCCGGGUCUUGUACACACCGCCCGUCACACCACGAGAGUUUGUAACACCCGAAGCCGGUGGAGUAACCUUUUAGGAGCUAGCCGUCGAAGGUGGGACAAAUGAUUGGGGUG